rfam:Salmo salar isolate Sally breed double haploid chromosome ssa01, whole genome shotgun sequence.
UGCAUUCGCUACUGUAAGUCGCUCUGGAUAAGAGCGUCUGCUAACUUACUAAAA